GUGGCGACGGCCGUCCAGUAGCUUGUCAUGCAGGCGCUGGCGGGCGUGCCGAUGAUCCGCGCCCACUCCCACCCGCCUCGACCCUCCGCCGCACGCCGCAGCUCCGCCAACUGCACGCCACAAAAACCAAAGCUCCGGUGCCGUUGAUGCAGGACAUGAGAUUGAAAGGCAUGCUUAUUUCCACCCAGGUAUUGCUCUGCUCCUGGUACUCCCAGAACUUAUCUGUCUUCUGCUUAAACUCCACUUCUCCCUUCGGGUUCGGAUGUGGGGUGCACCAUGAAUGGGCAGACAAAGCAGACUCCAUAACGAGAAGACAUGCUACAAAACACAAAAAACACGAGAGAAAUCUGCAAGCUGGACCAGCCAUGGCCAUGCUGUAGAUCUUAUCCUUGGUGCCGAUGCAUGCCAGCGCCAGAGCCUGUCCUCUAUAGCUGCGCCUGUGCGAUCCUCGGAGAAGACGAAGUCUGGAGGCUAGGCAUCAUGAGCCUUUUAUCUAAGCAUAAGCAAGAGGAGGUAUCAUGAGCUUCUCCGGGGAGGACCCCUCUGUACUUGUGUGUGCUGCAGUUGGAAGCACAUAAGGGGAGGAAAAAGAAGGGCGAGGGAAUCUUGAAUAUUUCUAUUGGACAAGUUUUGUGGAAUCUGAUGUUUUCCUAUUCAAUUGGGUGGAAUAAAGCUAGUACGCCUGUGCUGAAAUCGUCCUUGUCCCCUGCUGCCUCUGAAGUCGAUGGUUGCUUAGGAGUUCAGAUGUCCAUCUGCAACUUGCCGACGCUAACCACCACCGGUGACUGCAGGGUCUUGAGAAAGGUGAAAGCAGCUCCACAUUGCUGAUAUCAUACUGCAGAAUUUUUCUUCGCCCUGCUUGUCAUCACUUGCUGAAUGGAAUAUUGGGGCCUGACUGAUUGAUCACCCUGAGAAGGUCUCGCUAAGAUUUUCGUCGCAAAAGAAGAGAAAAAAAGAAGUCGGCUAAACUUCUUAGGUCUGUAGGAGGGUAAGUGCAACGUGUGUUCUGCGUCACUCUUGACUUACUGUAUAAAUUACUCGUUCUGUUCUUUCCAUUAUUGGUGGAAAGGAAAUUCUUAAUUCACUCGCAGUAAUCAGUAGCUAAGUCAAACAUCUUGCCACCUUGUAUUUUGCCUAGUAAUUUGUGCAGUCACGCAAGUGAUCUCCUCUAAACUAAUCUGGAGUAUAAUAUUA